CAAGGUGUAGCUCAGUGGUAGAGCAUGGCAUGCACAGGGUCCUGGGUUCAAUCCCCAGUGCCUCCA
rnacentral:tRNA from 1 species